rnacentral:rRNA from 1 species
AAUGAACGUUGGCGGCGUGGAUUAGGCAUGCAAGUCGAGCGAGAACCGGAGCAAUCCGGGGAAAGCGGCAAACGGGGUAGCAAUGCAUCGGUACGUGCCCUCAGGUCGGGGAUAGCCAGGGGAAACCCUGAUUAAUACCCGAUAAUCUCGAGAGAGCAAAGGUUUACUGCCGGAGGAGCGGCCGAUGUGGCAUCAGGUAGUUGGCGGGGUAACGGCCCACCAAGCCUUAGACGCCUAGGGGGCGUGAGAGCGCGACCCCCACCACUGGGACUGAGAUACUGCCCAGACACCUACGGGUGGCUGCAGUCGAGAAUCUUCCGCAAUGGGCGAAAGCCUGACGGAGCGACGCCGCGUGCGGGAUGAAGGCCCUUGGGUUGUAAACCGCUGUCAGGGGGGAUGAAAGCGCAAGCUUGACAGAGCCCCAGAGGAAGCACGGGCUAAGUUCGUGCCAGCAGCCGCGGUAAGACGAACUGUGCGAACGUUAUUCGGAAUCACCGGGCUUACAGGGU